rnacentral:piRNA from 1 species
UUUUGCAGAAUUAUUAUCAGA